GCUCACUCAGAGAAGACCUGAUAUUCAAGGAAAAGUCAGCCAAAAACCAGCUACCAGGAGGCAGCCUGAACGUGUCAGGGCCUGGGCACGACACUUGCCUUUCUUGGAGGAGUGAUUUGAAGCCAUAGUGGAAGACUGAGCCUCUAUAAAAAAUGAACGAGGACACUCUUAAUGGACAGAUACAAAACAAGCCCCAGGAGAAAGGUGUAUCAACCAUUUUAAAUCUGCCCUCAAAAGCACAGAACAAAUCAGACAGCAUUUUGCUCACAGAGGAGAGGGUGUAUGAGAACCAAAUUCCAGCUUCAGCACAUGGCCUUGGGUACAGCUACAAGAUGGAGGAAGCUAUUUGACCUGCAUCAGACUUUACGUGAACAAAAGGGUGUUGUUAUGUCCAAAGCCAUCUUGCCAUGCGCAGCCUGAGAAUGGAGCCAAUGACUGAGGGUGGCAGAGCAGAAAGAUGAGAUAAAUGGUACGAGGCUGAUAUGGGAGCAUCCAUCACUGACUACCAGGUUGCUACUCCCAGCUCCUGUCUUCACAUCUGCAUACCAACCAGUAAGAAGAGGAGAAGGAGCAAGGAGAGCACAUAACUUUCCUUUUAAGGACACAACUAGAUGCCAUGUUGUGAGCUGCUCUGUGGAGGGGGACCUGUGGCGAGGAACUGAGGGCAGCCAGCAGGCAACAGCCAGCUGCCAUGUUGUGAGUAGCCCUAUGGAGGGGCCCACAUGGCAAGGAACUGACAUCUUUGGUCAACAGUCAGUGAGGACUUAAGGCUGCCAAUAGCCACAUGAGGGAGCUUGGAAGCAGAUCUUCCCCCAGUGGAGCCUUGAGAUGACUGCAGUCUGGCUGACACCUUGAUUGUUGCCUUCUGGGAGACCUUGAGGUGGGGGACCCAGCUAAGCUGCCCAGCUUCCUGACCGGCAGAAACUGGGAGACAAUAAAUGUUGGUGUUUUAAGCCACUACAUUUUGGGAUAAUUUGUUACACAGCAAUAGAUAACUAGUACAGAAGUGCUAAAGAUCAAACACCCCUCUCCCUCUCUCUCCACGGUCUCCCUCUGAUGCCGAGCCGAGGCUGGACUGUACUGCUGCCAUCUCGG
rnacentral:lncRNA from 1 species